rnacentral:rRNA from 1 species
CCUACGGGAGGCAGCAGUGAGGAAUAUUGGUCAAUGGGCGCAAGCCUGAACCAGCCAAGUCGCGUGAGGGAGUACGGCCCUACGGGUUGUAAACCUCUUUUGCCGGGGAGCAAGGGGCGUCACGUGUGGCGGCCCGGAGAGUACCCGGAGAAAAAGCAUCGGCUAACUCCGUGCCAGCAGCCGCGGUAAUACGGAGGAUGCGAGCGUUAUCCGGAUUUAUUGGGUUUAAAGGGUGCGUAGGCGGCACGUUAAGUUAGUGGUAAAAUAUUGGGGCUUAACCCCUCUACGCCAUUGAUACUGGCGCUCUAGAGAAGAAGCGAAGUAUGCGGAAUGAGUUGUGUAGCGGUGAAAUGCAUAGAUAUCACGCAGAACCCCGAUUGCGAAGGCAGCAUGCCGGAUUCCGACUGACGCUGAAGCACGAAAGCGUGGGUAUCGAACAGGAUUAGAUACCCUUGUAGUC